ensembl:processed_transcript
CACAGGUUUACAGCUCAACCUCUAAAGUCCCAUAUCUGGCUGAGGAGACUGGAUCAUCCAGAACAUCACCAGUGGAAAAAAGGUGUGAAUGCAUACUCAAAGCCCCUAAGUGAGGGAGUACAUGGAUGCUGGGCAUGAUGAAGCGCAAACCUUGAUGUGCAACACCACCUUAUGAAUCUACAGUAGUUACAUUAACAUUUAGCAGACUCUUUUGUCUAAAGUGACUUACAAUUGAGGAGACAUUCAGCAAAUCAACAAGAAGAGGCGAUACAUCCAAGAUGUGCUAAUUAUACAAAAAAAUUUAAGAAUUAAGAAUGCUUCUACAUGUGGUUUGUCAAGCCCACACACCUGUGGGAAGCAGACUUCAUGCACAAUGUUUUGUUUUUUUGUUUUUUAGAUAUAGGGAGUGGUUGUAAGAAAGUGUCUGGUGCAAAUGUGCAUAAAUGGUGCAAGUGUCAGAGAGAUGAAUGUGUGUAGCUAUUGCAUGUUCUGUCAUGGUUGGUCUAAUUUAUGGUGUAGUGCUGAUCGUGUUACUUUGCUUUAAAAUGUUAAUCUUUC